GAUAAUUUUAAUAGCCGCAUAUGUGCUAAGGUAGCAUAAUCAUUUGUCUUUUAAUUAAAGACUAGAACAAAAGAUUUAACAUUUUAACUCUUUUAUUUAAAAAACUUUUUCAAAUUAUUUUUAAAGUAAAAAAACUUUUCUAAUAAAGAAAGACGACAAGACCCUAUUGAACUUAACUUCAGUUAAACUGGGGUAGUCUAUUAAUUAUAAUUUUAACAAAUAUAUAAUCUAAAAAAUCUUUCAUAGUAAAAUUAUCCAGUUACCAUAGGGAUAACAGCGCAAUUAUAUUUUUAAGAUCCUAUUUAAAAAAUAGAUUACGACCUCGAUGUUGAAUUAAUAACCUAAUUUUUAAAGCAAAAAUUAAUAAAGGAAGUCUGUUCGACUUUUAAAAAUUUACAUGAUUUGAGUUCAAACCGGUGUAAGCCAGGUUGGUUUCUAUCUUCUAUACAUUUAUUACAGUACGAAAGGACCCAUUAAUUUAAUUUUAUUUUCAAAUUGGCAGAAAAUUGCAUUAGAAUUAGAAUCUAAAUAUAAAAAU
rnacentral:rRNA from 1 species